GGGCACAUGUGUCUGGAGCUGUAAGAGAAAGCCAUACUGUUAGAGGAAUUGAGCAGUACAAACCAUUUCAGGCGCAAGGAAGGAGGCCCUGAGGUAUUGGUGAAGUAGAUAUUGAGGAAGUGGAGGCUGCUGUGGUUGCCUUCCGAAUUCCUUCUCCAGAGAGGCAGGAACAGUUAACAAGAGUCCGGUUACUCAGCAACGAAGACCAGCGUUACUUAUCUGGAGAACAGAACUUGCCCCCACAUGCCAGCGACAUGCUUUUAUUCAGUGGAGCCUUCCCAGAGGAAAAGACUUGUGAGCUCAUCUAGUGUUUCCCCCGCCAAUGCUUUGUGCUAGAUUUUGUUUUCCUUUCUCAAUAGACAAAGCAACUCCAGCUUUCUUGGGACCAGUGGGGCUGCAAAGAUUUGUUUCAUAAAACUAGGCGAUGUCUUGAAUUAUGCUGCACAAAUCAGUCAUCACUCAGGAACCCCAGAAAGAGGGAUGGGAUCCAAACUGACCUGAACCUCGCUGUGAACCUCUCCAUACUUCUCCAUGUUGGCUGGGACUGGAAGUUCCAAGAUGCAGACUAUUUCUGGCCUCUCUGAAACCAGAAAAUCCAGGAAGUCUCACCCAAAAGGGGGAUCUCCUGAGAUUGGCAACCCCAGCAUGCUGGCUAAGUGCUGGAACUGCUGGCUGGUUAAUAGCAUGUGUUUGUCAAGUGCUUUGGAAAGGAAAUCUAAAGCGCAGGGUAUUUGUUUUUUAUUGAGUUGUGAAAAGUAUUGUACAAAGGCUAAAACAGCACUGGAUCCUGCUCCAAUCCUAGGUCUCCACCAGCACCGCACUCCACAGGCCCCCAGAAGAGCCCCUCCCAAACACAGCUCAUGCCUCUCCCAGCCAUGCCUUUGGUAGAAGCCUGAGCAAUGGCCCCGGCAAUGCGUUCUGAAGACCAAGACUCCUAGGUUCUGACAGAUAAGCAGGAGAAGCAAAUUCGAACCCAGCUGCCCUCAGCCCCCUCCUGUUUAAAUCUGGAGAACAUCACCUCAUAUCUCUAGAGAACGUGCCUCAUCCGGGAUCUGCCAUGGGGAAAUGCCUCCCCUUCCUACCCAGCCCCUCCCCCAUCCUUCCUUCUCCAGCACCCUGGCAACUCAGCCAUCCUCCCUGUCCUGCACACAUUAGCAUGUCCACUAAACCCUGCAGAAUCAGCUCCA